rnacentral:lncRNA from 10 species
AGUUGGAGGCGCCUAGUGAGGGUCAGGGAGGCCCGGCCCGCGCCCUCCCCGCCCAGCCGCCUCCCCGUCGACCACCCAGGGCUGGGGCGAGCCAGGCUGCCUUUCGAACUUGGGGGCUUCUCCUCUUGUCUCCCACUGGUGCUCUGGCCGUGAAUCCAUCCAGGCGCCAGGAGAUGACAAUCCGGUACCAAGGCCGGCAGUACAGGCUGAGGAUGGCAUUUCUCCAAAAGGUUUCCAAGCUGCGUCCUGGGCCUGGAGACUGAGACAGAGAUCCACGGACUGCAGUGCAGGCAGCCCACCCCAGAUCCGAGUCAUAUAAGUAGAGACGGGGAUUCACU